GCCCUCUCAGGGCCGCACCUGGAGAAUUUCCAGUACUCUACCAGUCACGACUACAGGAGGGAGAAUCAAGCGGAGGCCUACCCAUUCCAUUCCUAGCUUGGCCAGUGGCUGGCGAGUGGAAGACAAUCUGCUACGCGU
rnacentral:snoRNA from 1 species